GGGAGGAGUGCGGAGCUGGGAGCAGCUCUCCCAGCAGUGCCCUCUGAAAAUCCUGUAAAUGCCAUCGCCGCUGGAAGCAGGGACGGUGUUCAGCAGGAAAACACGGUGGGAAAGGAUUUCUUACACCUGCAGAGGGCAAAACUCACCCGGACUGAGCGACUCAAACUGCCUUCUACAUCUGAACCGAGAGGCAGGACUGCACACGGCAUUUUUAAAGUGGAUUUUUAGGGCUCCCUGCCCUCCCCGGAACGAGGUAAGGACACAGGAUUCCCAGGGCGUGGAUUGUGCAGGGCUCCACUGCCAGAGGGAUUUUGGGGAGGAAUUGUUCCCUGGGAAGGUUUCUCUGUGCUCUCCCAGGGGGCAGGGCUGUGCUCCCAGGCACUCCUGGAGAACGCCCUGGCCAAGGCUCUGCUUCCCAGGCUGCUGUUUAUUUCUGUGGACAUCGAUUUCCUGCCAGCAUGGAGUGGAUUUAAUUUUAACUGAUAGUCCAGUGCUUCAUUCCAGCUUUAAAUUAUUGGCCACAAUCAGCACAGGACCCCAGAAGGAACCUUCAAGAGCAUCUCAUCCACAGCCUGGAACACCUCCCAGGAGAGGCUGGGGAGUCUGUCCCACGGGGAAUAUUGCAGAGGAUCUGGCACAUCCUGUGCCAACCUGGAUACAUCCUGUGCCAGCCUGGACACAUCCCAUGCCAGCUGGACCCACUGAGCCAACCUGACCCAGACUGGGAUCUGCUGGUUCUGUCCUGGAUGUGGAGUGCUGAGGGAAUGGUGAUUUUCUGUCCUGUCCUGUUCAUGGAGUGCUGAGGGAAUGGUGAUUUUCUGUCCUGUUCAUGGAGUGCUGAGGGAAUGGUGAUUUUCUGUCCUCUGGGAAUGUGCUGUAUGAAGUUUGUUGGGAUUUUUGGAGGGUUUUUUUGGGAGGUGUUAAAUCCUGAGCAGCCUUUUCCACUAGACACCCAAUGCUGACCCCAAACCCCUCUCCCCACCCCUGAAAUGUGCAGAAAUUCCCCAAAGCUCCGAUGCCAACGCCCCAAUCCCUUAACGACAGGAUUAUUGCCAAGCGCUCAGGCAGCACGACGAGCUGUGUGUUGUGAUGCCUGAUUAGAGGCUGGAUUUAGGGCUGGAGCAGCAUUGAGGCACAGCCACGAUGUAACUGGGUUAAUAACAGCCAGCUGAUUAACGUGGGGCAUCUCCUGGCAGCUGGGGAGCAGGGAUGCAGAUGUGCAGGGAUGCAGAUGUGCAGGGAUGCAGAUGUGCAGAGCAGGCUGGGACAGGGCAGGUGGAAGUGACCCAGCAGCAGUGGCCUGGCAGAGGCAGCGACCCUCAGGGUGUUUGUGGUGGCUGCUGGGGGGGAAUUCCCCAAGGGAAGGACCCAGGAGGGGUCAGAACCACGGAGCUGUGGGGUUCCUGCAGGGCAAAGGAAAGCUCAAAUGAUGGACAAACAGAGAUACAAAUCCUGCUGUAAAAAGGAAAGAGCACAGGGACAGGUGGACUGCUCACCUUUUAAACUCCUUUUUUCUGGUCCUGAGGGCCACAAUCAGCUCAGGACCCCAGAAGGGUUUGGGAUGGAAGGAACCUCCAAGAGCAUCUCAUUCACACCCUGGGAAACCUUCCAGGAGAGGCUGGAAAAUCCUCCACUGAGGCUGGAAAAGCCCUCCAAGAUCACCCAGUCCAAGUUGUGACAGAUCCCCACCAUGUCCCCAGCCCAGAGCUCUGAGUGCCACCUCCAGGAAUUCCCUGGGCACCUCCCUGGGCAGCUCCUUCCAGUGUUUAAUGAUCAUUUCCAUGAAGAAAUCCUUCCCUCAGAGGAGGUUUAGGCUGGAUUUUAGGGCAAAUUCCUUCAUGGGAAGUUCUGGAUGUCCCUGCCCUGGGGGGAUUUCCAAGCCAUGUAAAUGUGCACCAUGUAAAUGAACCACUGGGCAGGAGUGGUUCUACAUAUCCCAUAUUGAAUAAACUCCCUGAAAUGCACUUUUCUAAAGCACGAGGGAGGAAAAGUUCUGGGCUACAACAGCACAAUCAAAACUUUAUGAGGCAGAGGAAUAAAAGGUGUAUGUGACAAGGCUGAACCUGCAAUAAUAAAUGAACAACAAAGCAGAGUGAAUAAAAGGAAGGAGAGACUUAAAAGAAGUGCACGGGGUUUAAAACUCUAAACAGAACUGCAAAAGUUAAAUUGCCACAGCAAACAGAGCUCCCAGCACCCGUGGGGAGCAUGAAGGAAGAGCCUGGGCUGGGGGCUGGGGAGGGGAAUAAGCAGUUUGUGGUGGCAGUGCAAAACUGGAGGGGUUCUGUUAAGGAAGGAGCAAGCAGCUGUGCACCCGAGGUGUGGCAGGAGAUAUUGCUGUGCUGAUUUGCUUGGGGUGCUCUCCAUGGUCCCCUCGACCUCCCAGGCUGUGGUUUGAGUCAGCCAGGCUGAUUUCUCAUUUCUCCUGUCAUUUCCCAUCUUUGAAGGCAUUACAGAAAAAUUUGAGCAAGCUAUUUUUAGUCAGGCUUGAAAGCACCUAUUUUUUUUUUUUUUUCUUCCAGGCCUGAUUCUUGAGGGGCAGCUUUGAUUCUGUUUCCUUUUGUUUCUGCUCUCAGUUCUGUUUCCUUUUGUUUCUGCCUUGAAGUGCAGCUUUCCUUGGCCACGAGGUUCCCCUGGGCAGGGACCCUGCCCUGCUGCUGUUGCAGUCCAGGCACUCCUGGCAUCCCAAGGUGAGAUCCAAAGGUGCUUUUCACCUUGCAGGAGCAGCCAAAGGCAAGAAUUUGGUUUCAGCUGCAGGGAAAACGCUGGAACAAAGGACAAGCUGGAUCUGAAAAGGGAAAUAUCAGGAAAUAUCCUAAUCUCACCAGUUCAGAUCCCAGCAGGAAUGCUGGAAUUGUCACUGAACUGGGUAUUUUCACCUCUGGCUUUUGGAGGCCUGAGUUGUUCUUCUCUGCUUGCAUUCACCCUUGUGUAAGUGGGUGAAUCAAGCUGGAGGAGUCAGUGCCAGCCUUGCCCUGUGCUGGGGACUGGCACCUCUGGUUGGACUGGUGUUCCCAAGGGAUCUCCUGUCCCCAGUGCUUGACCCCCCCAUUGGGAUUUCAACUUUCCCAUUUCCUUCCCAUCCUUUGUCCUUAGCUGAAGGACCCAUGCCAAAGGCUCUUUAGGUAUUGCAAAUCAUUAGAAGACAGGAAAAUCAAAUUAAAUGUCUCUAAAGUCAAUGUGUCUUUGUUUCAUGGCUUAAACUUCCUCCUCCUGCCCACACUCACCAAUCCUGAAGUCUCUGCAAUUCUCUGCUCCUCAGUGAACCCCCUUUGGUUUCUCAUCUCCGUCCAUUUCCCAUCUCCAGGGCUCCUGUAACUGGAUCCAAGGCAGCCCCAGCAGUGAUCUGUCUCCUCCCCCAGCCCCGGGAGCAGCAGAUGUGAUUUUGGAGCUGGCCUGAGGAGCAGUGUCUCAUCUGGAGGGAAGAUGGAUGGUGGCACAAAGCAGAUUAUCCAGGGGAGCUGGGAUUCAGGGAGCUGAGAAAGGGGGGAGUCCUCCUUUGGGGAGGGGGAGUGUUGAUCAGGCCUCGUGGAGAGUGCAGAACCCCAGGGGUAUUGCAGGCUAGAGCUGCCCGUGGCUCUCCCUCACUGUGAGCUCUGCUUGCCCUCUCACCUGGGCAGGGACCCAGGCAGCACCAAGCAGGCACAGGGGAGGGGUCCCCAGGGGAGGGGGACACCCGGGUGAUGCUCUCCCAGGGGGUGGAGAGCAUCCUGGAACCUGCCAAUCCCUCGAUGCUCUCUUGGAAUUUCUGGGUUGACAGACAGUGCCCAGCAGGGUGGGGAAAGGAGAGGUGACUGACACCCGCCUGGGGAAGGAAACUUCGGGAGAAACCAGGGGAAACUGAGGCAAGCCAUGCCAUCACACCUCAACACCUCUGCGGUCCCUGGAGCUCCUCUCAGCCCCCCAGAGCCCUGGGAGCACCAGCCCCUCCCUGCUUUCCCUGUGGCUGCUGGUGGGCUCUGUGGGGCUGCACCCAGAGUGCAAUUCCUGCGUCCCCACUGCUCCUUCCAGCCCGUUCCUGUGGCUGCUGGGUGGGCUCUGUGGGGCUGCACCCAGAGUGCAAUUCCUGCGUCCCCACUGCUCCUUCCAGCCCGUUCCUGGGACCACUGGGAGCCUCUCUCCUGCUCAGGCAGCGGGGUUGGAUGAACCCCUCUGGUUUUGUUGCCAGCUGGGCUGCUGGGGAAUGAGAACAUUCAUUUCCAGAGUGGCAGGGUUUGCUCCUCACUGACACCAGAGCUGCUCCAAAUCUCAUUUCUGUCCCUCUGCUUUGGAAGGGGUGGAUGCAAACGGGGAAAAGCUGAGGCUGGGAUUUGGAACUGGGAUGCAGCAAUAAUGUCACAUGCCCUGCCCCGUGCUGAAGGUGGUGCUGGGACACCUGGGGCUCACCAGGGCAGCUCAGGAUAAACCCCUCCAUCCCCGCCUGGAAUGACUGCAGACAUUAUCUGAUUAGAAAGGAACACCUAUUACAUGGGAAAACCAAGGGAAAUUGGAGAAAUGCAUCAAUAUUCCAAACCACAGCUUCUUUAAAUGCAAACCCCAAAUUCCCAGAGGUGCCAUUUAAAUCUAUUUCCUGACGUGGAACUCUAGACUGGAAAAAUGUUGGCACCAGUUCUGGUUUGCAUCCUUGGUGAUGGAAUAGAAAAUUCAGAAAAUUCCUUUGCCAUCAGGAGGAAAUUUGGAUUUUUCCUGUGCUUAACUCCUGCUGCUCUGUGCCUGGAAGAGCAGCAGAGGUGGGAUGGUACCAAACUCCUGGAUGUAACCAAAAUUAACAAUAAUUCGACAUCCUUUCAUCUUAAAGUGGAUAAAAGCUGCAGGGAGAACUUUGAGGACAUUUCUGUGGCACAACCAACUGCUCAGGGGUCUGAGACAUCCCAGAUUUUCCUUUUGGAGGGAGCUGAGAGCUUUCCUCCUCCCUUCAGUCUGGGUGCUGGGAAGGAGGGAGGAAUAAGGGCUGAACUUGCUGUCAACCCUCUUAAAAGCUUUUUAUUGUAGCUGGAAUGUGUGAUAAUGGCCCCCAGAACCAUCAUUACAGUUAAUUAAAGGUCUGUUUCUUUUUUCUAAUGUGAGGGGUUUAUUUUCUGCAGUUGAUAACACAGCAAUAAAACCUUGCUUUAGGCAAAAUCUUGGUAGGCAAGGUCACAAUUUAGAAGUGAUUUGGAAAUUGAAAGGAAAACCAGAAAGCAGCAUCUGGUUCCUGUUAUUUCUGAGUUGUGGAAGUCCAGAGGGAAUGAUUUAGAGUUAAAAGGGAAGGAAAAGAGGAACAUCAGAGUCUGUGCACGGAGGGGAUGGCCAUGGGGAAGAGGUGAAAGGAGGACAAGGAAUUUGGGGUAAACAUCAACUUAAACAUGAAAAUUUGUCAGAUCCUGGUUUAA